UUGCACGCUGGCGGCAUGCUUUACACAUGCAAGUCGAACGGUAACAGGCCGCAAGGUGCUGACGAGUGGCGAACGGGUGAGUAAUGCAUCGGAACGUGCCCAGUCGUGGGGGAUAACUACUCGAAAGAGUAGCUAAUACCGCAUACGAUCUAUGGAUGAAAGCGGGGGACCGUAAGGCCUCGCGCGAUUGGAGCGGCCGAUGUCAGAUUAGGUAGUUGGUGGGGUAAAGGCUCACCAAGCCAACGAUCUGUAGCUGGUCUGAGAGGACAACCAGCCACACUGGGACUGAGACACGGCCCAGACUCCUACGGGAGGCAGCAGUGGGGAAUUUUGGACAAUGGGCGCAAGCCUGAUCCAGCAAUGCCGCGUGCAGGAAGAAGGCCUUCGGGUUGUAAACUGCUUUUGUACGGAACGAAACGGCUCUGGUUAAUACCCGGGGCUAAUGACGGUACCGUAAGAAUAAGCACCGGCUAACUACGUG
rnacentral:rRNA from 1 species